AAAAUCCGUCGACUUUAAAAAUCGGGA
rnacentral:tRNA from 1 species